rnacentral:tmRNA from 1 species
GGGGAUGAUAGGAUUCGCCUUAAAAGCACUUUGUAAAAAUCAAGCCGAAGAGCCAAACUUCGUUAAAAAACGGCAAAACAAAAAUGCUGAAGAAGCAAAUGUUCCUGCUUAUGCUGAAGUUUUAGCAUAAAAAGCAGGUGUCUCGCAUAAAUUUCUCUUUGCAGAUUUUGCGAGGCAUAAAAACAGCAAAGAUGCGGUAUUGGAAUAUGGUUGAGUUCUUAUUUACCAAAGAAAAGAAAUUAUCCAACCUAAAGCCUUUCUCUUGUUUUACGGUUUGUGUAUGACAAAGGCUCACAAUUAUUAAACCGUAUAAGCUUGUAUUCGUUUUUGCAAGAAACUUUUAAGCACGCGGGUUCAAUUCCCGCCA